GGCCCGGUAGCUCAGUGGAUAGAGCAACUGCCUUCUAAGCAGUGGGUCGUGGGUUCGAUCCCCGCCCGGGCUACCA
rnacentral:tRNA from 2 species